rnacentral:rRNA from 1 species
CCUACGGGGGGCAGCAGUCGAGAAUCAUUCACAAUGGGGGAAACCCUGAUGGUGCGACGCCGCGUGGGGGAAUGAAGGUCUUCGGAUUGUAAACCCCUGUCAUGUGGGAGCAAAUGAAAAAGAUAGUACCACAAGAGGAAGAGACGGCUAACUCUGUGCCAGCAGCCGCGGUAAUACAGAGGUCUCAAGCGUUGUUCGGAAUCACUGGGGGUAAAGCGUGCGUAGGCGGUGUCGUAAGUCGGGUGUGAAAGGCGCGGGCUCAACCCGCGGACGGCACAUGAUACUGCGAGACUAGAGUAAGGGAGGGGGAAGCGGAAUUCGCGGUGUAGCAGUGAAAUGCGUAGAUAUCGAGAGGAACACUCGUGGCGAAGGCGGGUUCCUGGACAGUAACUGACGCUGAGGCACGAAGGCCAGGGGAGCGAAAGGGAUUAGAUACCCCUGUAGUC